GCCUGUAAUCCAAGCUACUGGGAGGCUGAGGCUGGCGGAUCGCUGGAGCUCAGGGCUUCUUCUGGGCUGCAGUGGACUAUGUCGAUCGGGUGUCCGCACUAAGUUCGGUAUCGAUAUGGUGCUCCUGGGGGAGCUCGGGACCACCAGGUCGUCUAAGGAGGGGUGAACCGGCCCAGGUCGGAGACGGAGCAGGUCAAAGCCCCCGUGUCGAUCAGUAGUGGGAUCGCGCCUGUGAAUAGACACUGCAGCGCAGCCUGAGCGAGACAACGAGACCCAGUCUCU
rnacentral:SRP_RNA from 1 species